rnacentral:snRNA from 1 species
GGAUUUGAGGGUGAUCUGGCUGAGACAUCUGUCAUCCUAUUGAUCGCCAGGGUUGUUUCGGCUGAUUUGGCUGGCUAGGCGGGUGUCCCCUUCCUCCCUCACCGCUCCAUGUGCAUCCCUCCUGAAGCUGUGGGCUUGGUCAUAGAGGAUGGCCUUCCUCGAAUAGAGAAGGACAGGUCUUCGUUCGAGGGUUUAGGAGUAGCUGCGCUCCCCGGCUAGAACCUCCAAACAAGCUCUCAAGGUCCAGAAGUAGUAGGGUUAUGAACUCAAAUUCCAUCAGACCCAG